rnacentral:lncRNA from 1 species
UGCACGUCUCCGCGGCGGGCUCCCGGCGGUGCACGUGCAUGAGGUGGACUGUGGGGACCCAGGGACCAGAAGCGCGGGCUGGCUCAGGAGCAAGUACAACUUCAUCGCAGAGGUGGUGGAGAAGGUGGCGCCGUCAGUGGUCCACUUACAGCUGUUCAGCAGGUCACCUCUCAGCAACAAGGAUGUCCCUGCGUCCAGUGCCUCUGGGUUCAUAGUGUCUGAGGAUGGGCUCAUUGUUACUAAUGCCCAUGUCCUCACCAACCGGCAUCGGAUCCAGGUAGAGCUCCAGAAUGGGGUCCAG